rnacentral:rRNA from 1 species
UACAGAGGGUGCGAGCGUUAAUCGGAAUUACUGGGCGUAAAGCGUGCGUAGACGGUAGCGUAAGUCAGAUGUGAAAGCCCCGGGCUCAACCUGGGAAUUGCAUUUGAGACUGCUCUGCUCGGGUGCGGAAGAGGGAAGCGGAAUUUCCGGUGUAGCGGUGAAAUGCGUAGAUAUCGGAAGGAACACCUGUGGCGAAAGCGGCUCACUGGACCACAACUGACGCUGAGGCGCGAAAGCUAGGGGAGCAAACAGG